AGGGAACAGCUCCUUGGUGAAUG
rnacentral:piRNA from 1 species